UUGACCUCAAAUCAGGUGGGACUACCCGCUGAACUUAAGCAUAUCAAUAAGCGGAGGAAAAGAAACUAACAGGAUUCCCCUAGUAACUGCGAGUGAAGCGGGAAAAGCUCAAAUUUAAAAUCUGGCGGCUUCACUGUCGUCCGAGUUGUAAUUUAGAGAAGCGUUUUCCGCGCCGGACCGUGUACAAGUCUCCUGGAAUGGAGCGUCAUAGAGGGUGAGAAUCCCGUCUUUGACACGGACGCCCGGUGCUAUGUGAUACGCUCUCGAAGAGUCGAGUUGUUUGGGAAUGCAGCUCAAAAUGGGUGGUGAACUCCAUCUAAAGCUAAAUAUUGGCGAGAGACCGAUAGCGAACAAGUACCGUGAGGGAAAGAUGAAAAGCACUUUGGAAAGAGAGUGAAACAGUACGUGAAAUUGCUGAAAGGGAAACGCUUGAAGUCAGUCGCGUUCGCCGGGAUUCAGCCCCUGUGGUGUACUUUCCGGUGUAACGGGCCAGCAUCACUUUUGAUCAUCGGAAAAUGGCAGAGGGAAUGUGGCACCUUCGGGUGUGUUAUAGCCCUUUGUCGAAUACGGUGGUCGGGAGUGAGGAAUGCCUUUUUUGUAGGAUGCUGGCAUAAUGG
rnacentral:rRNA from 1 species